AUCUAAAGUCCAAUCUGCUCACUGAUUAUUUAAAGAGCCGCAGUAUAUUGACUGUGCAAAGGUAGCAUAAUCAAUAGUUUUUUAAUUGAAAACUUGUAUGAAAGAUUAGACGAAAAAUUUAUUUUCUUUAUUUUCAUAAAUUGAAUUUUAAUUUUGAGUGAAAAUGCUCAGUUAAUUUUAAAAGACGAGAAGACCCUAUAGAUUUUUAUUAUUGAAAUAAAUUUAAAAUCUAAUUUAAUCAAAUAAUUUAAUUGGGGCGAUUUUGUAAAAUAAAUAACUUAAUUAUUUAAAACCAUAAAUAAAUGAAUAUUUUGAUCUAAAUAUUUUAAAAGAAAGAUUAAAUUACCUUAGGGAUAACAGCGUAAUUUUAUUUAAGAGUUCAUAUCUAUAAUAAAGUUUGCGACCUCGAUGUUGAAUUAAGAUAAUAUAUUGGAGUAGAAAUUAAUAUAAUUAGUCUGUUCGACUAUUAAAUUCU
rnacentral:rRNA from 1 species